rnacentral:rRNA from 2 species
UACGUAGGGGGCAAGCGUUGUCCGGAUUUAUUGGGCGUAAAGAGCGUGUAGGCGGCCAGACAGGUCCGUUGUGAAAACUCGAGGCUCAACCUCGAGACGUCGAUGGAAACCGUCUGGCUAGAGUCCGGAAGAGGAGUGUGGAAUUCCUGGUGUAGCGGUGAAAUGCGCAGAUAUCAGGAAGAACACCUAUGGCGAAGGCAGCACUCUGGGACGGUACUGACGCUGAGACGCGAAAGCGUGGGGAGCGAACAGG